UAAUUGGACGUCAAAUCUGUCGAAACAAGCUAAGUAUGCACAUGAGGAAGCUGAACAUGGCUGUGUUCGUUUCAACACUGGCUGUGUUCCUAACACUGGCACCAACACGGGUCGUGUUGGGUGCGUCAAACAUCAAAGAAAAAGAAGUUCUUAGGGAGCACAGCCACAAAGAGUAACACGGGCAUAAACACCAGCCAGUGUUCGGAACACGGGAAUCAACACGGCCGUGUUGGCGGCGA
rnacentral:lncRNA from 1 species